AUUGAACGCUGGCGGCAGGCCUAACACAUGCAAGUCGAGCGGAUGAAGGGAGCUUGCUCCUGGAUUCAGCGGCGGACGGGUGAGUAAUGCCUAGGAAUCUGCCUUGUAUUGGGGGAUAACGUCCGGAAACGGGCGCUAAUACCGCAUACGUCCUGAGGGAGAAAGUGGGGGUUCUUCGGACAUCACGCUAUCAGAUGAGCCUAGGUCGGAUUAGCUAGUUGGUGGGGUAACGGCCUACCAAGGCGACUAUCCGUAACUGGUCUGAGAGGGUGAUCAGUCACACUGGAACUGAGACACGGUCCAGACUCCUACGGGAGGCAGCAGUGGGGAAUAUUGGACAAUGGGCGAAAGCCUGAUCCAGCCAUGCCGCGUGUGUGAAGAAGGUCUUCGGAUUGUAAAGCACUUUAAGUUGGGAGGAAGGUCAGUAAGUUUAUCCCUUGCUGUUUUGACGUUACCAACAGAAUAAGCACCGGCUAACUUCGUG
rnacentral:rRNA from 1 species